GCACCUCUGGGAGUGAAGCAGGGGAGGCGUCAUUGUCCUCGUUUAACUCUCGGUGAAGAAAAGUGUGUUAAUUCCGAGAGCUUCUGUGGGAAUGGGGCCUUCCUCUGUGGUCGGGGAGACUGUGGCACAGCCGGGAGGAGGAGUCGGGAUACCUGGUUCUGGUCUUUGUGGGGUCUCAGUCUGCAUGUGUGACUCUGCGUUAGUCACCUGUGAGACGGAAGGAUGGGACAGAGUCCUUGGGUGUGUGCAGACCACCCAUGUGAGGAGACGGGACGAAUGGUUGGGUAACAAUCAUUUUGUCACAUGAAUAAUUGCAUCUAGAGGUUCCUGAACUCUAGAUUCCUUAGAAGCCAGGUAACAGGGCCACAGGGACACACUCAUGCCCAAGGCUCCAUGGGACUAAGGGACUGAUGGCCAAAUAAACCCCUCAGGGGAAGCAGGGUGCACAGAGGCAGGCCAGUGGAAAGCAGAACUCUGAAGUUAGGGGUCAGGAGAGGCCACUGCCGUGCCUUUGGAGGCCUAGGACGAGAAAAGUGGCAUGUGUAAGGGCUCUGGGGACAGCCAGAUACUGAGGUGGCCAGAUACUGAGAAAGGGGCUCAAAUGUGAAGAAGCAUGAAGAGACCACUGAGGAGGGCCAGCUGCAAGCCCUGUUGAGGGGCAGGGCAAUGGAGGAGGAAGAGGAAGGAUUUGGAGAGAUGGGGACACUGAACUAGGUGCUGUCUCCCAGGCCUUCAAACCCUGUGGCUCCAGAGUGAGUGGGUGCAGGUGAAAACGGGGGUGUCGCAGAUCCUGAUGGCGGAAUGUUCCAGAUUAUCAAGCUCUUGUAUUCCUGGAGUGGAGGGAACACAGUGUGGCUGCUGCUAAAUUUGGUGUGUUUGGGAACAAAAUCAAGACAACAGAGAUACAAGGGAUGCAAGCUUGGUGCCAUCUGCCUGAAGAACCCCCGUAGGGCAAGGGGCCGGAGGACCACCCCUCCCUGUCCUCCUGCGCGGAGCUUCCUGAACAAGACUCCUGGGCACCAGGACCCUCUGCAAAAGGUCUUGGGCAUCUGUGGUGAGAACGAUGGCCAGAAAGGCCUCGGACCACCCAGAGCCAGGUACCACCAGAGGCAGCUCAGAGGGGAGGGCGAUGAGGCCCAUCGUGGGGUAAAGGAAGGCAAAGGGAGUUAUGAGAUGAGCAGGUGACAGGUCAAAGAGGGGCGCAUGGCGCCCAGAGGUGGAAACCUCACGUGCUGAAGUGAUGGGACCUGGGAAUGUUUGGGGGAGGGAGGGGCCACUGUGGCUCCAGCUUAGCUGCUCCAGAGCUGCAUCUGGAGCCCCUGACUCAGAUCCGUGGGCCCCUGAAACCUCCGUUCCACCUGCCACCCCCACAUCUUGCCUCAUACCCCAGGCCCAUGGCCAGCCCUCCCUCCCAGCCCCUCUGCUCCCUUCCUCCCAUUCUACCCCUCUCUGUGACUUGCUCCCUGCCUCCAGGAACCCACAGCCCAGCAGGGAAGACGAAUGUGGAGACCCCAGGUGAGCUGAAGUGCAGAGAUGGCUAGGAAUGCACCAGGUGAGGAGGGGAGAGAUUUCCCAGUAGCGGGACUAGGUGCUGGGGCCAGGGCAAACCUGGGGCUGUUCACACAUUGGGGGCCGUUGCUGGGCGGGGCUAAAGGAUAUUGUGCUGUUAUUUAAAAGAGGAGGUGGAGCCUGGGAGGGAGGGGCCUUAAGAGGGAAGAGAGAGUCAGAGAGCCUCUUCCACACACCCUGCUGGGGUGGGCCUCCUGGGGGGGGAUUCUCAUCUGUGAGGGGGACGCCAAGCUGACAUGGAACAGGCCCCAGGUCACAUGCAGAGCAAAGGCUGCCUCCAUCAGAGGGGACAGGGUGGGGUGGGAAACAAGGUCUCAUGGCGGGUGGAACCUGUCUUUGGACUUUCCCACCCUUCUCCUGUGAGCGAGGUUUGGGCUCUGCAGCUGGGUCUGGAGUCCCCUGGAGGUUUCCAAGCGAGGCCUGUUGACCUGGACGGAGGCCCUGAUCUGUGCCGCCACCUGAUCCCUGCCACCCUCCCGCCAGACUCACGGCCCCUGGAUGCCCAUCCUGCCUGGACAGGGCCCUACUGCCAGGCCCAUCCUGUUGCCACCCGAGCCGCAGGAGACGGUCACACGUGUGUUUAUGUCCUGCCCCCGACGGCCCCCCACUCCUCGCAGGCCCUGCCAGCUUCCAGAACAUUUAUCAGGCCUCUGUAUGUUUUUCUUGUGUGGGAUUUAAAAUGAUUUCUUUAAACAAGGUCUAAACUGGGAUUGAUUUCCUCUCUUUAUUUUGAGUGGUUUGUUUUGUAAUAUGGUUCUUUUAACGGUCUAAAUUGUGGGAACUUGGGAGGAAAAAAAAGGGAAUUUUCUGACUUCAUAUAAAUACAAAUUACUUUAUCUGCCUUUGAAGACUUCCAUGUCUUUUCCUUGAAAAGGCUGGAGAGGAAUUCUUUGGGGUCCCUUUCAGAACUGCCAUGAUGAGAGGGAUACGCUCGCCCGGAGACUUCCACUCCAGGCUGAGAAUGAAAAACAACCCGGGCUCUUCCACAGAGCCUCCUGCUUUUCUUUCAAAGCACAUUCAUCUCCAUUCAUCUGAUCUUCACCACAUAAAAUUCCUUUAAUUUGAUCUUCACAACAGCAUGAGAGCUGAGGAAGAACAACACCCUCCCAGCGGAGCGCGUCGGAGGGGGCUUGCCAGUCAGGUGUGGGCCUGGCCUGCGAGUCACCCUGUCACUGCUGGUGAGGCUCCAUCAUCUGUGAAUCAAUUCAAUAAACACUUCCAAGCA